rnacentral:rRNA from 1 species
UGGCGGCCGUAGCGCGGUGGUCCCACCUGACCCCAUGCCGAACUCAGAAGUGAAACGCCGUAGCGCCGAUGGUAGUGUGGGGUCUCCCCAUGCGAGAGUAGGGAACUGCCAGGU